GCUCGUAUCGUAUAACGGUAGUAUAAGUGAUUGCAAAUCACUUGGUCACAGUUCGAUUCUGUGUACGAGCUCCA
rnacentral:tRNA from 1 species